rnacentral:rRNA from 1 species
AGAGAUGUGUGAUGACGCAUAUCAAUAAGCGGAGGAAAAGAAACUAACAAGGAUUCCCCUAGUAACGGCGAGUGAAGCGGGAAGAGCUCAAAUUUGAAAUCUUCAAGGUUCUACCUUGACGAAUUGUAGUUUAUAGAAGUGUUUUCUGUUAGUAGAGUGGCAAAAGUUCUUUGGAAUAGGACAUCAUAGAGGGUGAGAAUCCCGUAUUUGGUCAUUCUUCUAGCGUUGUGAUACACUUUCAACGAGUCGGAUUGUUUGGGAAUGUAGUCCAAAAUGGGUGGUAAAUUUCAUCUAAAGCUAAAUAUUGGCGAGAGACCGAUAGCGAACAAGUACCGUGAGGGAAAGAUGAAAAGAACUUUGAAAAGAGAGUUAAACAGUACGUGAAACUUGUCAAAAGGGAAGCGUUUGACACCAGUGUUGUUUUUCCGAAAAUCAAUUACGAAUGUUUUGUUUUUAAGAAGUUAUGACUUCAUCGGCUUGCUUCUCUCUUAUGAAACUUUCUUAAUGCACUUUUCGGUUAACAAGUCAACAUCAAUUUCUUUUGUUGUAAAAGAGUAUGAGGAAGGUGGCUUUCUUUUCGGAGAAAGUGUUUAUAGCCUUGUACCUCUGCAAUCGGAGAGAUUGAGGUCUGCAGCGUAGAUCCUUCGGGGUUAGAUACAUUUGUGCUAAGCUAUAGCCUUGUAUAGACAACUUGUUGACUAUGCUCAGUCAUGUAGCUUACUCGCUUAUGCUAUUUUACCUACGCUUAGGAUGUUGAAGAUGUAGCACAUCAU